rnacentral:lncRNA from 1 species
UGUUUUUUGUUCCACACGUGUCUUUCGGCGCGCGAUUUGCUGUGCCGGGUGGGUUUGCUGUCUCCAAGACCAGUGCUCCCUACUUCCCGUGGCAAAUGACAACCCAUUGAGACAUUCCAGCUGCCGAGCAACUGCGGAUGGUGUGGUCACAUCAAGGAUACAACACCUGCUGUAACUCCUGUGCCUAUGAGACAGAUAAACGUGAUCUGAAGGACACACCACGUUCUAUACAGGCCAGCGUCCAUUUGAAUGCCAUUUGUGUCCUUGGAUCUUCUGGCGAACAUUGAAGCUGAAGAAGCACCUACAACUUACAUAGGCAAGAGGCCAGUUGAGUGCCCUUUAUGCCCUCAGAGCUUCUGACAAAAGGUUAAUCUGAAGCAACACUCGCACAUGUACACAGGCGAGAUGCCAUUUGAUUGUCCGUUAUGCCCUCAGAGCUUCUCA